CCUAUUUGAAAAAUAGAAUAUGGUUAAAAAUUGCUGAUAUGAUAGAGGAUUCAAGUACUAUUUACAAACAAAAUAUUGAAGAGAAUGUGCUCAAAAGGAAAUGCAUAUGAAUUCUUUUUUGUUGACCAGGAUGGAAAAAUUCUUUGGAACCCAUGGUUAGAAUAAGUUAGUUAGGCCUAGAGGUGUACCAGCCAGAAGUAGAGGAUGACAAAGAAAAUCAACUAUGAAUAAUAU